UUCUCUGAAAUAAGCCCCGUUCGAGGCGCUCAGUGUAUUUUUCGGGUAAUGAAACGAGGCAGGUCGUCGGCCCUGGAGUGAACUGCUGUUCUGGACUUCUCCAGAACGGAGUCCGUCUCUGCCUGUGCGUGUAGUUGCGCAUUCGCAGUGCCGUGAGGACAGAUAAGUAUUUUUUGUCUUCUCCUUUUAACUCAUUGUCAGGUUAGGUGGAGCGGAACGUGAUAAUAUGGAACACAAGUGAAAAAAUCUGAUUGUUUUUGAAUAAAAUUGUUAAGUCCAAUUCCAAUUUGUGGCUGCAUCUUAAUACUUCUAAAUUUCUUCUAUCGAGAAGUCCGGGACUACUCAGAAAACAGCCGGGGCUUCAGCCCCGGAAGCCCAGGUCUAACUACGCGCCUGUUUAUACCUAUAUGGACCAUGUUGAUGUGCGUUUUUGCAUUCAUCUUUAUUCCUCCCAUAAACUUCUAAAUAUAGUUUAUCAUUCAUAAUAUGGUAGCUGUUGACUGAGAAUAUCAUUUAAUUUCAUGAAAAAGGUUAAUUUCUGCAAACGUCCAAGAUAUUUAAUUUCCCUGUCAGAGAUUCCCCAAAUUAUAUGAUCACGUGCAUUCUACCUGUUUAAAUUAAUUUAUGUUGUCUGUGAUUCAUGUCCAUUUAAUAAUGUACUGUUUUUAACGCAAUGUUGAAUUAAUUAAAAAGAAGCAGGUGAUGUAUUUACAUGAGAAGUUAUAAUGGAUUACUCUUGACUAAAUAAGCAAAGGAACAGCUUUGAUGUCGGAGUCUGAGAGUUCUGUAUUGUCUGUUGUGUGCCACUAACCAUGCUUCACCACUAGAUGCCGCCAGAGCCCCGGUACCGAGGGUUAACAGGUGCUGCCAAUUCCAAUCAUCUGGAGGGGUUUAAAAAGGGUUGGCUGUCAGCACUCCAGUGCCUGAGUGUUUGCCAUUGUGGUAACUUCUUCUGGACGACAACUGAAUUUUCACUCCAUUAAAGGUGUGGUUGUACUCACUCCUUCGUUGUGCUCCUUCCAGGUGAAUUCCAUGUCCUGGCUCCUGUUAGGAUCCUGUCGAAAACCCUGAACUCAAGCUUCCAAGAACCUCUGAAGAAUCACGCUCCAGCUGGCACCCCAAGCUUCAUACUCCUAGACCUCAGGCAAGCGAACCUGCUCACCCUCCACCCAACCUCAAAUACACCGGGUGCUCUUCCACUGUAUGGACUGUCGUCAGUCGAACCCUCACCAAUGCGGUAACUACUUACCUUGGACCAGAUUCUCGACCAUGCGGCAGCUCUCGAUCCAACCUCUCAGGCUCCACACAUCAAGCCUCCCUGGACAGACCUCCACUCCAACUCCUUUUGGUGUUUCCAGUCCCGGGUCCUGUUCCAUAAUCCAAGAUGCAAAAAAUAAAUAAAUUAAACUUUU